rnacentral:rRNA from 1 species
AACGAACGCUGGCGGCAUGCCUAACACAUGCAAGUCGAACGAAGUCUUCGUACUUAGUGGCUCACGCGUGCGUAGCGCGUCGGAAUCUGCCCUUGGGUACGGAAUACCUCAGAGAAAUUUGUGCUAAUACCGUGUAAUGUAUUCGAACCAAAGAUUUAUCGCGCAAGUAUGAGCCGGCGUAAGUUUAGCUAGGUGGGGGGGUAAAAGCCUACCAAGGCGACGCUAGUUAGCUGGUCUGAGAGGAUGAGCCGCCACACUGGGACUGAGACACGGCCCAGACUCCUACGGGAGGCAGGAGAGGGGAAUAUUGGACAAUGGGGGAAAGCCUGAUGCAGCAAUGCCGCGUGAGUGAUGAAGUCCGGAGGGUUGUAAAGCUCUUUUACCAGGGAUGAUAAUGACAGUACCUGGAGAAUAAGCUCCGGCUAACUCCGUG